UUUUGCAAAAAUGCACUGAAUAUGAAUGUACAGUUUAACAGAUUCUUGUAGAGCAUCCUUGCAGCCUUCCUGCCAGGCAUAGAAAUAGAACUUUGAUGCCCUCCGGAGGUCUUAUGCACCCUUCCUAGUCAAGGCUCCCUCUUGCCCCUGCAUUGACUUUUCCAGAAGUCACUGCCUUGCCUUGCCUUAUAAUUUUACCGCCUGUGUUUACAUCACUGGAGGUCGUGUCCAUGUCUCUGUCUUGUUCUACAUGCUGCCCCUCUCCCCUUGGUGACAUGUCCUAGCCAUCUUUCUUUCUUUUUUUUUGGAAAUGGAGUCUCACUCUGUCACCCAGGGUGGAGUGCAGUGGCACGAUCUCGGCUCACUGCGACCUCUGCCUCCUGGGUUCAAGCAAUUCUCCCACCUCCGCCUCCCAAGUAGCUGGGAUUAUAGCCAUGUGCCACCACGCCCAACUAAUGUUUUAUAUUUUUAGUAGAGACAGGGUUUUGCCAUGUUGGCCAGGCUGCUCUCAAACUCCUGACCUCAAGUGGCCUGCCCACCUUGGGCUCCCAAAGUGCUGGGAUUUCAGGCAUGAGCCACCACGCUCAGCCAUCCACUGCGCCCAGCCCCUAGCCAUAUUUCUAUGCUGGCACAUGGAGCAGCCACCUCUGCAUAGGGAGCCCCAUGGCUGUGCCAUGCUGGGGGCCAUUCCCCCUGGUGGACAGCAUCGGAGGCUCACGGCACUCCCCUCGCCCAGGUUGCCAGAGGAGGCCCGCCACCGGCGUGUGUUCGAGAUGGUGGAGGCACUGCAGGAGCACCCUCGAGACCCCAACCAGAUCCUGAUCGGCUACAGCCGAGGCCUCGUUGUCAUCUGGGACCUACAGGGCAGCCGCGUGCUCUACCACUUCCUCAGCAGCCAGGUAGGCAGUGCCCAGGACAUGGCAGGCGCCAUGUUGCUCUCCCAGGGCCCCAAAUGGCCCAUACAUGCUCUGUGCAGAGGCAUGGGGUGCAGGCGAUGGGAAUGCCACCUCGGUCCAGCGUGCUGCCCUCUGUCCCUCUCCUUUUCCUCCAUAGCAACUGGAGAACAUCUGGUGGCAGCGGGACGGCCGCCUGCUCGUCAGCUGUCACUCUGAUGGCAGCUACUGCCAGUGGCCCGUGUCCAGCGAAGCCCAGCAACCAGAGCCCCUCCGCAGCCUCGUGCCUUACGGUCAGUGUUUCACCCGCCGGGCAGUGCCCACCCCCAGUGCCUCCUGGAUUCAGGUGCAGGUUGCUCAAUUCUGAAGCAAACUCCAGGGCCAGAGAGGGUAAAGGCUUUGUCCAAAGCCACACAGCAGGGUUCGCCUCACCCAGUUUCUUGGGGAACUUCUCAGAGCAAGAUUCCCAAGCACAGGUCUACCAUGUGGAUGUGGCAUGAGCUAGAGGGAUCUGUGCCUGUGGGGACUGACACUUGUCUGAGAGUUUGAGGAUCCGUUCAAGCCGAUUCCUUUCCUUUCAGGUCCCUUUCCUUGCAAAGCGAUUACCAGAAUCCUCUGGCUGACCACUAGGCAGGGGUUGCCCUUCACCAUCUUCCAGGGUGGCAUGCCACGGGCCAGCUACGGGGACCGCCACUGCAUCUCAGUGAUCCACGAUGGCCAGCAGACGGCCUUCGACUUCACCUCCCGUGUCAUCGACUUCACUGUCCUCACAGAGGCAGACCCUGCAGCCGGUAGGAGAGCUUCGGGAGUGGGUGCCCAGGGUUAGGUGUGGGAGGCGUGGGGCAGGGCCAUCAGUAAAGACAGGGCCAGGUGCAGUGGCUCCUGCCUGUAACCCCAGUGCUGUGGGAGGCCAAGGUGGUAGGAUCGCUUGAACCCAGGAGUUCAAGUCCAGCCUGGACAACGUAGGGAGACCCUUGUUUCUAC
rnacentral:sRNA from 1 species